ACUCCUGCGGGAGGCAGCAGUGGGGAAUAUUGCACAAUGGGCGCAAGCCUGAUGCAGCCAUGCCGCGUGUAUGAAGAAGGCCUUCGGGUUGUAAAGUACUUUCAGCGGGGAGGAAGGCGAUAAGGUUAAUAACCUUGUUGAUUGACGUUACCCGCAGAAGAAGCACCGGCUAACUCCGUGCCAGCAGCCGCGGUAAUACGGAGGGUGCAAGCGUUAAUCGGAAUUACUGGGCGUAAAGCGCACGCAGGCGGUCUGUCAAGUCGGAUGUGAAAUCCCCGGGCUCAACCUGGGAACUGCAUUCGAAACUGGCAGGCUAGAGUCUUGUAGAGGGGGGUAGAAUUCCAGGUGUAGCGGUGAAAUGCGUAGAGAUCUGGAGGAAUACCGGUGGCGAAGGCGGCCCCCUGGACAAAGACUGACGCUCAGGUGCGAAAGCGUGGGGAGCAAACAGGAUUAGAAACCCGGGUAGUCCCAUGAU
rnacentral:rRNA from 1 species